CCUCAGCCGCAAAGGAGCGUUGCGCGAGCUGCCCCGUGCUCGACGUGCACGUCCUCGGCCCCCGUGCCCCUCCGCUCUCUCCUCCCCCUCUGUAGCGUUUCGGCGAGGACAAGUCCCGAGCGCUCUCCUCUUCCUUUCCCCUCGCUCGCUUCCUCCUCCCUCACCUGCAGAACCCUAGCCGCCUCCUCUCAUCUCCCCUAGCCGCCUCCUCUCCUCUCCCCAGCCGCAAGGGAGCGUUGCGCGAGCUGCCCCGUGCUCGACGUGCACGUCCUCGGCCCCCGUGCCCCUCCGCUCUCUCCUCCCCCUCUGUAGCGUUUCGGCGAGGACAAGUCCCGAGCGCUCUCCUCUUCCUUUCCCCUCGCUCGCUUCCUCCUCCCUCACCUGCAGAACCCUAGCCGCCUCCUCUCAUCUCCCCUAGCCGCCUCCUCUCCUCUCCCCAGCCGCAAGGGAGCGUUGCGCGAGCUGCCCCGUGCUCGACGUGCACGUCCUCGGCCCCCGUGCCCCUCCGCUCUCUCCUCCCCCUCCCUGUCUCCAACGGAGCCGAGUCUCUCCGGCGGCGGCGGCGCUCGAUUUGAUCUGCAGGAGAGAGAGAGAGAGAGAGAGAGAGAGAGAGAGAGAGAGAACAUGAGAAGGGGAGAGAUAAGGAAGUAGAGGAGGGACGCCACCAUGGGAGAGCAGGGGCAACAUGGUCUUCGUGGUGGGCAUGGAGGAGCAUAGGAGGAUGCUGGUGCGGGGUGGGGUCAGAGUAGCAGGAGUUCCAGGUGAAGCUCGCGUCAUGGUGGAGUGGAGGAGCUCGUCGUACAUCGCCACCAUCCCCAAUCUAGAUCUGAGAUAUAAAAAGAAAAGAAAUAAUCUCGUGGAAUUUUAGAUCUGCAAUAGAAACGAAGAGAAAUAAUCUUGUGGAAGAGCCUGACUAAAAAGAAAGGGGUGAAUCAUCUGUUUCUCCCAUCCAUGUUUGUUUUUGCAAAUUUUGUUAAGAUGCAGGUUGGCUAUUCUUCCUUGUUGUCAGAAUCUGAAGUAUUUGACCAUCUGUAGCCACUUCUAUCAUGUGUCGUAUCCUUACUCUAUUUCAAGUUAGUUGUUGAUUCAAACAUGUCAAUGAAAGACAAUAAUGUUAAAUUGGUUCCCCAAAGGCCAAGGUGGUGAUGAUCACUUUGUGCUUCUUUUCCUUUCGUUAAAAAAUGAUUCCUCUGGUUGAUGUUGACGUAGGUUUUUAUGGUCAUGUCAACUGGUACUCCAACUGGCACUGAGAUGAGGUAAUGGUGUGGGAAUUGGGGCUGCAAGGACGUGAAAAUGGCCUAGAAGAGAGUUAGCAAUGGCAUGCGUCCUCAAGUAAUUUCUUGCCAAUGGUUUUACAGUGAAAAGCUGAAGAAGUUGUGACGACAAUGAAAGGACUGAAAGAUUUGCUCAAAGCAAAGACAUCUAGCCGAGAUACAUGUGGAACGAAGAGGAGGGAUCUUAUGUAGAAUAUGCGACUUCCUUGGUGCUGAAAGUGUGCUAUUAAGUCUCAGUUGCUCCUGCAAAAUAGGAUCUUAAUAAAUAAAGGAUAUGCAUCGCCAAGCAGUUUGUUGUGUAUUUUUUCCCCUUCCAACCUUAUUGAUAUGCCUGUUGCUCAAGGUGUUUUUACUUGUUUACAUGAUUAACAAGUGAAUAUAAAUUUGAAACACAAGUUAAUAAAUUUAGCGCAGUCCUUGCUGAAAUCCGUAUUAUUA